rnacentral:piRNA from 1 species
UGCACAACAUUGUUGUUGGUGGGAAUU